UACAGAGGAGCCAAGCGUUGUCCGGAUUUACUGGGCGUAAAGCGCACGCAGGCGGUUGCGCGCGUGGGGUGUGAAAUCUGGCCGCUUAACGGCCAGGCGCCAUCCCAUACGGCGCGACUGGAGUGAUGCAGAGGUCGAUGGAAUUGCCGGUGUAGUGGUGAAAUGCGUAGAGAUCGGCAGGAACACCCAGGGGGAAUCCAGUCGACUGGGCAUCUACUGACGCUGAGGUGCGAGAGCGUGGGGAGCGAGCCGG
rnacentral:rRNA from 1 species